CCAACCUGCCCAACCCACCUACCUCCCAGAGUCAUUUGCAGGGCCAAGUGGGAAAAAUGAUCUUAAUACAGUAUUAAUCUUUCCAUUUCCCCAGGUGUGUGUGUGUUGGUGGAAAGCAGUGGUACAAGUGUGGGCAGAGGACAGUGACUCGAAUAGUGAGGCAGAGGAGAGUCACCAAGGGUACAUGUUGCUAUGACAUAGUGUCAACGUGGGGGCUUCUGAAGG
rnacentral:lncRNA from 10 species